UCGGAUUAAUACCGGAUGGCCCAACAGUCUUUCGGGACGGUUGGAAAAGGUAGCUUCGGCCUCCGACCAAGGACGGGCCCGCGGCGGAUUAGCUUGUUGGUGGGGUAAUGGCCUACCAAGGCGACGAUCCGUAGCUGGUCUGAGAGGACGAUCAGCCACACUGGGACUGAGACACGGCCCAGACUCCUACGGGAGGCAGCAGUGGGGAAUCUUGCGCAAUGGGCGAAAGCCUGACGCAGCGACGCCGCGUGGGGGAAGAAGGCUUUCGGGUUGUAAACCCCUUUCAGGAAGGACGAAGCCACUCAGGUUAAUAGCCGAGAGGGUGACGGUACUUCCAGAAGAAGCCCCGGCUAACUACGUGCCAGCAGCCGCGGUAAUACGUAGGGGGCAAGCGUUGUCCGGAUUUAUUGGGCGUAAAGAGCGUGUAGGCGGUUUGGUAGGUCCGUUGUGAAAACUCGAGGCUCAACCUCGAGACGCCGGCGGAAACCAUCAGGCUAGAGUCCGGAAGAGGAGAGUGGAAUUCCUGGUGUAGCGGUGAAAUGCGCAGAUAUCAGGAAGAACACCCGUGGCUAAGGCGGCUCUCUAGUACGGUACUGACGCU
rnacentral:rRNA from 1 species